CAGCCGCCGCGGUAAUACGUAGGGUGCAAGCGUUAAUCGGAAUUACUGGGCGUAAAGCGUGCGCAGGCGGUUAUGUAAGACAGAUGUGAAAUCCCCGGGCUCAACCUGGGAACUGCAUUUGUGACUGCAUAGCUAGAGUACGGUAGAGGGGGAUGGAAUUCCGCGUGUAGCAGUGAAAUGUGUAGAUAUGCGGAGGAACACCGAUGGCGAAGGCAAUCCCCUGGACCUGUACUGACGCUCAUGCACGAAAGCGUGGGGAGCAAACAGGAUUAGAUACCCUGGUAGUCCACGCCCUAAACGAUGUCAACUGGUUGUUGGGUCUUCACUGACUCAGUAACGAAGCUAACGCGUGAAGUUGACCGCCUGGGGAGUACGGCCGCAAGGUUGAAACUCAAAUGAAUUGACGG
rnacentral:rRNA from 1 species